rnacentral:rRNA from 1 species
ACGAACGCUGGCGGCGUGCCUAAUACAUGCAAGUUGAGCGCUGAAGGUUGGUACUUGUACCAACUGGAUGAGCAGCGAACGGGUGAGUAACGCGUGGGGAAUCUGCCUUUGAGCGGGGGACAACAUUUGGAAACGAAUGCUAAUACCGCAUAAAAACUUUAAACACAAGUUUUAAGUUUGAAAGAUGCAAUUGCAUCACUCAAAGAUGAUCCCGCGUUGUAUUAGCUAGUUGGUGAGGUAAAGGCUCACCAAGGCGAUGAUACAUAGCCGACCUGAGAGGGUGGUCCGCCACAUUGGGACUGAGACACGGCCCAAACUCCUACGGGAGGCAGCAGUAGGGAAUCUUCGGCAAUGGACGAAAGUCUGACCGAGCAACGCCGCGUGAGUGAAGAAGGUUUUCGGAUCGUAAAACUCUGUUGGUAGAGAAGAACGUUGGUGAGAGUGGAAAGCUCAUCAAGUGACGGUAACUACCCAGAAAGGGACGGCUAACUACGUG